AAAAGGUGGCUAUGCUACCGCUUUUGGAUGGGCCCGCGGCGCAUUAGCUAGUUGGUGGGGUAAAGGCUUACCAAGGCAAUGAUGCGUAGCCGAACUGAGAGGUUGAUCGGCCACAUUGGGACUGAGACACGGCCCAAACUCCUACGGGAGGCAGCAGUAGGGAAUCUUCCACAAUGGGCGAAAGCCUGAUGGAGCAACGCCGCGUGGGUGAAGAAGGUCUUCGGAUCGUAAAACCCUGUUGUUAGAGAAGAAGGUGCGUGAGAGUAACUGUUCACGUUUCGACGGUAUCUAACCAGAAAGCCACGGCUAACUACGUGCCAGCAGCCGCGGUAAUACGUAGGUGGCAAGCGUUAUCCGGAUUUAUUGGGCGUAAAGGGAACGCAGGCGGUCUUUUAAGUCUGAUGUGAAAGCCUUCGGCUUAACCGGAGUAGUGCAUUGGAAACUGGGAGACUUGAGUGCAGAAGAGGAGAGUGGAACUCCAUGUGUAGCGGUGAAAUGCGUAGAUAUAUGGAAGAACACCAGUGGCGAAAGCGGCUCUCUGGUCUGUAACUGACGCUGAGGUUCGAAAGCGUGGGUAGCAAACAGGAUUAGAUACCCUGGUAGUCCACGCCGUAAACGAUGAAUGGUAAGUGUUGGAGGGUUUCCGCCCUUCA
rnacentral:rRNA from 1 species